AAGCCGUAAAGCUACUGGCUGUCGUCUUUUAUAGCUUCUUUCUGACAUUAGCUCCAAAACCUCCAAAACCUGGCAAAACCCUGCUUGAGCUCGUGCUAGAAGAUUGGUAUCAGGUGCCAAGCCUGGCUUGUCCUUGUGAUAGAAGAUUGGUGUCAGGUGCAGGGCUUGGGAGCCGCUGCUCUGGUCGUGGUUAACAGGUCUCUGCACUUGGCAGAUCACGCCCAAUUCCCCAGUCACGUGGCCACACCCUCCUCAUUAGAACAUUUUAACAGGUUUAAGGGAGUCAGUGAAAGAAACAGAAAGUUUGUAUGCUUUUAAGAAGAAGGACUUUUGCUUCUUGGUUCAUCUUGCUCUGUCUUCCCAAGCACCUACGACAGAACUUAUUCUGUGGACUUGCUUAUCACUCUAUCCACCAGUUAUUUCCUUUAAAUUGCUCUUCCUUAGGCCAAACUUGGUCUUGGACAAAAGAACAAAACCUCGAGUCUGGUGUUAGUGGCACCUCCCAAAGCUUCUCUGGUGCUGGACUCCUGGCCCGGCCCUUCCUUUCCAGGGUGGCUGAGAUUAGAGGGGCAUCCCUCUCUCUGGAGCACUUCCAUGUCAAGCCUCCCCUUAAAGGAAUCUCAGGUUUUACAACUCAGUGCUGUAACUCAGCAAAUAGUAACGAAGUGCUUGUAAGGCAGAUUUUGUUGUAAACUCUGUCUUGACCCAGUUUUGAGGCCCAGCUAGAUGACCACCAGUUUUACUUUUCUGAGCUGUCCUCACCACCAACCUCUUCCUUAUCCUCAUCUCAGACUCCAGGCCACUCUACACUCACCCUAGUCCCCCUAAAGCAGUGGUGGUCAACUUAUGGCACGAGUACCUCAGUAGUCUGUUGGUAUCACUGGAAACUCUAAAAGUUGCCCGCCACUGUCCUUAGGCCAGGUACCAGGCAAUUAGGGACAGCCUCUGUGCAUGCUCUGAAGCUAGCCAAAAUUUUCAAAUUAGCCAAUCCACAGAGAGCAAGGAACCCUAGCUGCCUCCAACCGGUUGCCUACAUAAGCUGCUCCUAUAGCUCCAGUGGGAUAGUACCCUCUUCCUGGGCUCAACCCACCUCGUGGCCUUGCCUGUGUAGAAUUCUGGCUUUCACCCACUCCAGUGUCCUUGCAUCGAGUCUCUCUAUUCAAAGUGCCCUUGGAUCUUACACAGCAGUCCCUACUCUGUGUAAGGACCUACUGUGUCUUCAGGGAAGAGGAGAGGUGACCUUUGUCCUUUAGGAGGUGACAGGCCAGCAGGAGAAAUACCAGCCCUUAUGCUAAGGCCAAGAAAAAAGCAGAGCACAUCUGAAAUCUCAGAGUUCACAGGUGGGAUACAAGGGUGCUUGAGUGCAGACUGCAGAAGUGACCAAGAGUGCUUGUAGGGGAGGGUGCUAUGCAGUACCAUCUCUGCCUUCUGUGCCACCAGCCCCUGGCAGCCCAGUGGAAACCUGCAUGUAUCAGAUGUUACAUGUACUUGUGCAACCUGUGGUGCCAAUCAGGAAGAAUCUCCGUCCUUCAUACCCGUGAAAAGUUAUGUUGGCAUAGCCCAGCUACAGAAUAACUCCAGUUUGGCCUCCGGUCACAACUGAGACUUCAGUGAUCCAGUGAUGCUGUGAUUCUCCAG